rnacentral:tRNA from 1 species
AGCAGAGUGGCGCAGUGGAAGCGUGCUGGGCCCAUAACCCAGAGUCCGAGGAUCGAAACCCUGCUCUGCUA